AGAUUUACUAUUGUGAGAUGGGGAACAACUGGAUUAAAAGAAUGCAAGAAAAAAAGCAGCAUGUGACUAGGAGUUGUAUUAUGAUGAUGAGAGGUUCCUGUUAACAGCAUGAGAAAAUAUUCAUGAACCGAUGAUAGAAUAAUAGUCACAAACAGAGUCUCCGAUGGAGAAUGCCAUUUUGGAAGACAAAGAUGGCUCCAUCUUCAGCAGGAAGCCUGGGCUAUGGUUUGAAAGAAAGCGAGACAAUGUCAUCUGGACUGUCCCAUAACAGCGAGUCCCUAGAAUCCCAAUGCCAUUCCACAUUUUCCCAGGAAGUGCUUAGGUUCCUGUAAUGUGUACCCUCUACUUGUUCUGGCUCUGCGAGGCUCAGCUAACUUAAAACUUCAGAGUUCUUCAAAUCUUGGACCAAUAACCACGAAGGUGAUUACAUCACAAAUACUUUGCAGAAUGUCUUUCACUGAUUCUUUUGACAAUA